CAGCAGCCGCGGUAAUACGUAGGGUGCGAGCGUUAAUCUGAUUUACUGGGCGUAAAGCGUGCGCAGGCGGCCCGUUAAGACAGGUGUGAAAUCCCUGGGCUCAACCUAGGAAUUGCGCUUGUGACUGGCGGGCUCGAGUACGGUAGAGGGGGGUGGAAUUCCUGGUGUAGCAGUGAAAUGCGUAGAGAUCAGGAGGAACACCGAUGGCGAAGGCAGCCCCCUGGGCCGGUACUGACGCUCAUGCACGAAAGCGUGGGGAGCAAACAGGAUUAGAUACCCUGGUAGUCCACGCCCUAAACGAUGGGUACUAGCCGUUUGGUGCGCGAUAGCGCUGAGUGGCGAAGCUAACGCGUGAAGUACCCCGCCUGGGGAGUACGGCCGCAAGGUUGAAACUUAAAGGAAUUGGCGGG
rnacentral:rRNA from 1 species